CAGCAGCCGCGGGAAUACGAAGGGGGCUAGCGUUGCUCGGAAUGACUGGGCGUAAAGGGCGCGUAGGCGGCUUGCACAGUCAGAUGUGAAAUUCCUGGGCUUAACCUGGGGGCUGCAUUUGAUACGUGUGGGCUAGAGUGUGAAAGAGGGUCGUGGAAUUCCCAGUGUAGAGGUGAAAUUCGUAGAUAUUGGGAAGAACACCGGUGGCGAAGGCGGCGACCUGGUUCAUGACUGACGCUGAGGCGCGAAAGCGUGGGGAGCAAACAGGAUUAGAUACCCCUGUAGUCCCUGUCUCUUAUAC
rnacentral:rRNA from 1 species